AUACUUACCUGGCAGGGUAAAUACCAUGAUUAAGGAGGUGGUUUCCCCAUAGUGAGGCUCUUCCAUUGCAUUACAUUUGGGUUAACCCCUGUGAUAUCCUCAAAUGUGGGAAAAUCAGCUGCAUAAUUUAUGGUAGUGGGGACUCUGUGUUUGUGCUGUCCCUUA